rnacentral:rRNA from 1 species
GCUUUGCCUCUGAGUGGUGAGAGUGGCGAACGGGUGAGUAAUGCGUGACCGACCUGCCCCAUACACCGGAAUAGCUCCUGGAAACGGGUGGUAAUGCCGGAUGCUCCAGUUGAUCGCAUGGUCUUCUGGGAAAGCUUUCGCGGUAUGGGAUGGGGUCGCGUCCUAUCAGCUUGACGGCGGGGUAACGGCCCACCGUGGCUUCGACGGGUAGCCGGCCUGAGAGGGCGACCGGCCACAUUGGGACUGAGAUACGGCCCAGACUCCUACGGGAGGCAGCAGUGGGGAAUAUUGCACAAUGGGCGCAAGCCUGAUGCAGCGACGCCGCGUGAGGGAUGGAGGCCUUCGGGUUGUAAACCUCUUUUAUCGGGGAGCAAGCGAGAGUGAGUUUACCCGUUGAAUAAGCACCGGCUAACUACGUUGCCAGCAGCCGCGGUAAUACGUAGGGUGCAAGCGUUAUCCGGAAUUAUUGGGCGUAAAGGGCUCGUAGGCGGUUCGUCGCGUCCGGUGUGAAAGUCCAUCGCUUAACGGUGGAUCCGCGCCGGGUACGGGCGGGCUUGAGUGCGGUAGGGGAGACUGGAAUUCCCGGUGUAACGGUGGAAUGUGUAGAUAUCGGGAAGAACACCAAUGGCGAAGGCAGGUCUCUGGGCCGUUACUGACGCUGAGGAGCGAAAGCGUGGGGAGCGAACAGGAUUAGAUACCCUGGUAGUCCACGCCGUAAACGGUGGAUGCUGGAUGUGGGGCCCGUUCCACGGGUUCCGUGUCGGAGCUAACGCGUUAAGCAUCCCGCCUGGGGAGUACGGCCGCAAGGCUAAAACUCAAAGAAAUUGACGGGGGCCCGCACAAGCGGCGGAGCAUGCGGAUUAAUUCGAUGCAACGCGAAGAACCUUACCUGGGCUUGACAUGUUCCCGACGGUCGUAGAGAUACGGCUUCCCUUCGGGGCGGGUUCACAGGUGGUGCAUGGUCGUCGUCAGCUCGUGUCGUGAGAUGUUGGGUUAAGUCCCGCAACGAGCGCAACCCUCGCCCCGUGUUGCCAGCGGAUUAUGCCGGGAACUCACGGGGGACCGCCGGGGUUAACUCGGAGGAAGGUGGGGAUGACGUCAGAUCAUCAUGCCCCUUACGUCCAGGGCUUCACGCAUGCUACAAUGGCCGGUACAACGGGAUGCGACGCGGCGACGCGGAGCGGAUCCCUGAAAACCGGUCUCAGUUCGGAUCGCAGUCUGCAACUCGACUGCGUGAAGGCGGAGUCGCUAGUAAUCGCGAAUUGGUUUCG